GCCAAUGAUGAUUUGUCUGCAAAAUGGAUGUGCUGUGGAAACAAGUCCCUGCUUGCAGGGAGAACCUACUUGGGGAAGCAACACUAAACAUGACAUCAACAGAUACUUCUGAGGC
rfam:Ananas comosus cultivar MD2 ACMD2_Scaffold_2222, whole genome shotgun sequence.